rnacentral:rRNA from 1 species
GACGAACGCUGGCGGCGUGCUUAACACAUGCAAGUCGAACGAAGUGGCGAACGGGUGAGUAACGCGUAAUCAACCUGCCCUUCAGAGGGGGACAACAGUUGGAAACGACUGCUAAUACCGCAUACUGAAGGAGGGGAUUGCGUCUGAUUAGCUAGUUGGAGGGGUAACGGCCCACCAAGGCGAUGAUCAGUAGCCGGUCUGAGAGGAUGAACGGCCACAUUGGGACUGAGACACGGCCCAGACUCCUACGGGAGGCAGCAGUGGGGAAUUUUGGACAAUGGGGGCAACCCUGAUCCAGCCAUGCCGCGUGCAGGAUGAAGGUCUUCGGAUUGUAAACUGCUUUUGUCAGGGAAGCGGUACCUGAAGAAUAAGCACCGGCUAACUACGUGCCAGCAGCCGCGGUAAUUC